rnacentral:rRNA from 1 species
GACGAACGCUGGCGGCGUGCUUAACACAUGCAAGUCGAACGGAAAGGCCCUGCUUUUGUGGGGUGCUCGAGUGGCGAACGGGUGAGUAACACGUGAGUAACCUGCCCUUGACUUUGGGAUAACUUCAGGAAACUGGGGCUAAUACCGGAUAGGAGCUCCUGCUGCAUGGUGGGGGUUGGAAAGUUUCGGCGGUUGGGGAUGGACUCGCGGCUUAUCAGCUUGUUGGUGGGGUAGUGGCUUACCAAGGCUUUGACGGGUAGCCGGCCUGGGAGGGUGACCGGCCACAUUGGGACUGAGAUACGGCCCAGACUCCUACGGGAGGCAGCAGUGGGGAAUAGUGCACAAUGGGCGGAAGCCUGAUGCAGCAACGCCGCGUGCGGGAUGACGGCCUUCGGGUUGUAAACCGCUUUCGCCUGUGACGAAGCGUGAGUGACGGUAAUGGGUAAAGAAGCACCGGCUAACUACGU